UCUCCGUAGGUGAACCUGCGGAGGGAUCAUUACAGAGUUCAUGCCCUACCGGGUAGAUCUCCCACCCUAUGUUAUUAUUACUUUGUUGCUUUGGCGGGCCGUUAGGCUCCGGCCCGACUACCGGCCCCGGCUGGUAAGCGCCCGCCAGAGGACCCAAAACCCUGAAUAUUAGUGUCGUCUGAGUACUAUAUAACAGUUAAAACUUUCAACAACGGAUCUCUUGGUUCUG
rnacentral:misc_RNA from 1 species